GACGAACGCUGGCGGCGUGCUUAACACAUGCAAGUCGAACGGAAAGGCCCUUCGGGGUGCUCGAGUGGCGAACGGGUGAGUAACACGUGGGUGAUCUGCCCUGCACUUCGGGAUAAGCCUGGGAAACUGGGUCUAAUACCGGAUAGGACCGCAUGCUUCAUGGUGUGGGGUGGAAAGCUUUUGCGGUGUGGGAUGGGCCCGCGGCCUAUCAGCUUGUUGGUGGGGUAAUGGCCUACCAAGGCGACGACGGGUAGCCGGCCUGAGAGGGUGUCCGGCCACACUGGGACUGAGAUACGGCCCAGACUCCUACGGGAGGCAGCAGUGGGGAAUAUUGCACAAUGGGCGCAAGCCUGAUGCAGCGACGCCGCGUGGGGGAUGACGGCCUUCGGGUUGUAAACCUCUUUCAGCACAGACGAAGCGCAAGUGACGGUAUGUGCAGAAGAAGCACCGGCCAACUACGUGCCAGCCGCCGCCGUAAAAC
rnacentral:rRNA from 1 species